GAAAAGUUGUAAAACCUUGGCUAACAGUUAAAUCAACUGAGUAACCCUUUCAAUGCUGGCUAGAUCCUCCUAGGCAUAUACUAUCCUAUUCUCAUGUAAUUUUCAAUUAAAAUAACAUUCGAACCAGCUCAUUAAUCAUUUCCUGGAACCAUCCAAUAAGAAUAAUCUACCAGAUUUUUACAAAAGCCAAAUUUUAAUUUGCCUAAAAAGAUAUCUUAUCUUAUAUUAGAGCAAAUCAAUACACCUAGAUAAAAACAGC